AAGACAUGCAAGACAAUUGUGGCUAAGGCAUGAAAAGGGUAGGACAAAGUUGUGAUUGUGGCAUGGUUUGGUUAGGGAUUUACAUGAUGAACCUAAACAAUGUUGAAUAACUUUGAUCAAGAUCAAGUUUAAUUGAAGAAAGACAUUGACAUUGUUAUGUCUAAGGCAUGCAAGACAAUAUGUGGCUAAGGCAUGGUUUGGUUAGGGAUUUGUAUGAUAAACCUAAUCAAUGUCAAAUAACUUUGAUCAAGAUCCAAGUUCAAUUGAGGAAAGACAUUGGCAUUGUUAUGGUCAAGGCAUGCAAGACAAUGUGUGGCUAAGGGAUGAAAAGGGUAGGAUUAAGUUGUGAUUGUGGUAUGGUUGGGCUAAACAAGUUUAUGUGUUUAGUGUUGGUACAAGGAGUUGUAGAUUGUUUUGAGAACUAGAACUCUUUAUUUUUAUAAAUGACAUUAUUCUACACUUAACUAUGGUUAUUUAAGUGAUGAAUAUUCUUUUAAAUAAUUAAUUAAAUUAAUAAUUAAUGGGUUAAGUUUGAAAUUUAUUUAAUAUUUUACAUCACUUGAUUUAUUAUAUUAAAAUAGGUUAGUGGAUUUAUUACUUUUAAAAAUAUUAAAAGUGAUAAAU
rnacentral:lncRNA from 1 species